rnacentral:rRNA from 1 species
UACGAAGGGGGCUAGCGUUGCUCGGAAUCACUGGGCGUAAAGGGCGCGUAGGCGGCCAUUCAAGUCAGGGGUGAAAGCCUAAGGCUCAACCUUGGAAUUGCCUUUGAUACUGUUUGGCUUGAGUCUGGUAGAGGUUGGUGGAACUGCGAGUGUAGAGGUGAAAUUCGUAGAUAUUCGCAAGAACACCGGUGGCGAAGGCGGCCAACUGGACCAGAACUGACGCUGAGGCGCGAAAGCGUGGGGAGCAAACAGG